rnacentral:lncRNA from 1 species
CAGAAUGAUGGAGGAGUCAACGUUUCCUUAGGACAGACUUUACCUCUUGAAUAGAGGGCGAAUGGUGUUCUGUUUCGGUGUAAAGCACGAAGAACUUCUAAAUAUUUCAAGAAAUGGAUAAACAGGAUUACAGAGAGAUUGGCGCAGGGAGUGGACUGAGAGGAGUAGCAUGCUGAGAAGAGGACUCCAUAGGAGGCUUCUAUAAGAGCACAGUUGGGC